rnacentral:rRNA from 1 species
CCUACGGGAGGCAGCAGUGAGGAAUAUUGGUCAAUGGGCGGGAGCCUGAACCAGCCAAGUCGCGUGAGGGAAGACGGUCCUAUGGAUUGUAAACCUCUUUAGGCGUGGCGCAAUGCCGGGCACGCGUGCCCGGAGGGAGAGUACCCGCAGAAUAAGCAUCGGCUAACUCCGUGCCAGCAGCCGCGGUAAUACGGGGGAUGCGAGCGUUAUCGGGAUUGAUUGGGUUUAAAGGGUGCGUGGGCGGGUUUUUAAUUCAGCGGUAAAAUGUCGGGGCUCAACCCGGGCCGGCCGUUGAAACUGGGGAUCUUGAGUGUGCUAGAGGUAUGCGGAAUGCGUGGUGUAGCGGUGAAAUGCAUAGAUAUCACGCAGAACUCCGAUUGCGAAGGCAGCAUACCGGAGCCCGACUGACGCUGAGGCACGAAAGCGUGGGGAUCGAACAGGAUUAGAUACCCCUGUAGUC